AUUGAACGCUGGCGGCAGGCCUAACACAUGCGAGUCGAACGGUAGCACAGAGAGCUUGCUCUCGGGUGACGAGCGGCGGACGGGUGAGUAAUGUCUGGGUCACUACCUGCUGGAGGGGGAUAACUACUGGAAACGGUAGCUAAUACCGCAUAAUGUCGCACGACCAAAGAGGGGGACCUUUCGUCGUCUUUCCCUCGGAUGUGUGCAGGUGGGAUUAGCUAGUUGGUGAGGUAAUGGCUCACCAAGGCGACGAUCCCUAGCUGGUCUGAGAGGAUGAUCAGCCACACUGGAACUGAGACACGGUCCAGACUCCUACGGGAGGCAGCAGUGGGGAAUAUUGGACAAUGGGCGCAAGCCUGAUGCAGCCAUGCCGCGUGUAUGAAGAAGGCCUUCGGGUUGUAAAGUACUUUCGUCGGGGAAGAAGGGAAGGCGGUUAAUAACCGGCUGGAUUGACGGUACCCACAGAAGAAGCACCGGCUAACUCCGUG
rnacentral:rRNA from 1 species